UCCGUAGGUGAACCUGCGGAAGGAUCAUUACAGAGUUCAUGCCCUUACGGGUAGAUCUCCCACCCUUGAAUAUCUUACCUUUGUUGCUUUGGCGGGCCGCUAUCGGCCACCGGCUUUCAGCUGGUGAGUGCCCGCCAGAGGACCCUAAACUCUGAAUUUUGUAUUGUCUGAGAACUAUAUAAUAGUUAAAACUUUCAACAACGGAUCUCUUGGUUCUGGCAUCGAUGAAGAACGCAGCGAAAUGCGAUAAGUAAUGUGAAUUGCAGAAUUCAGUGAAUCAUCGAAUCUUUGAACGCACAUUGCGCCCCUUGGUAUUCCGGGGGGCAUGCCUGUUCGAGCGUCAUAAUAACCCUCAAGCCUAGCUUGGUGUUGGGGCCUGCCUCCAGGCAGCCCUUAAAGUAAGUGGCGGUGCCGUUUGGCUCUAAGCGUAGUAAUAAACCCUCGCUAUAGUGUCCGGCGGUUAGCUUGCCAAAACCCCUAAAUUUCUAUGUUUGACCUCGGAUCAGGUAGGGAUACCCGCUGAACUUAAGCAUAUCAAUAAGG
rnacentral:rRNA from 1 species